GACGAACGCUGGCGGCGUGCUCAACACAUGCAAGUCGAGCGGUAAGGCCCUUUCGGGGGUACACGAGCGGCGAACGGGUGAGUAACACGUGGGUGACCUGCCCUCAGCUCUGGGAUAAGCCUGGGAAACCGGGUCUAAUACUGGAUAUGACUCCAUGACGCAUGUUGUGGGGUGGAAAGCCUUGUGCGGCUGAGGAUGGGCCCGCGGCCUAUCAGCUUGUUGGUGGGGUGAUGGCCUACCAAGGCGACGACGGGUAGCCGGCCUGAGAGGGCGACCGGCCACACUGGGACUGAGACACGGCCCAGACUCCUACGGGAGGCAGCAGUGGGGAAUCUUGCGCAAUGGGUGAAAGCCUGACGCAGCGACGCCGCGUGAGGGAUGACGGCCU
rnacentral:rRNA from 1 species